rnacentral:rRNA from 1 species
UUUGAAAUCUGGCUGUCUUCGAUAGUCCGAGUUGUAAUCUAUAGAAGCGUUUUCCGUGCUGAACUGUGUCUAAGUCCCUUGGAACAGGGUAUCAAAGAGGGUGAUAAUCCCGUACUUGACACAACAAUCAGUGCUCUGUGAUACGUUCUCUACGAGUCGAGUUGUUUGGGAAUGCAGCUCAAAAUGGGUGGUAAAUUCCAUCUAAAGCUAAAUAUUGGCGAGAGACCGAUAGCGAACAAGUACCGUGAGGGAAAGAUGAAAAGCACUUUGGAAAGAGAGUUAAACAGUACGUGAAAUUGUUGAAAGGGAAACGAUUGAAGUCAGUCGUGUUCAUUGGAUUCAGCUAGUUCUUCUAGUCUACUUCCUUUGAACGGGUCAACAUCAGUUUUGUCCGGUGGAUAAAGGAUUUAGGAAUGUAACUCCCUCGGGAGUGUUAUAGCCUAGGUUCACAUACACUGGGUGAGACUGAGGACUGCAGCUCGCCUUUUGGCCGGGGUUCGCCCACGUCGAGCUAGGAUGUGACAUAAAGG